rnacentral:rRNA from 1 species
UACAGAGGUCUCAAGCGUUGUUCGGAUUCACUGGGCGUAAAGGGUGCGUAGGCGGUCGGGUAAGUCUGAUGUGAAAUCUCACAGCUUAACUGUGAAACUGCAUUGGAUACUAUUCGGCUAGAGAGUUGGAGGGGGGACUGGAAUUCUUGGUGUAGCAGUGAAAUGCGUAGAUAUCAAGAGGAACACCAGUGGCGAAGGCGAGUCCCUGGACAACUUCUGACGCUGAGGCACGAAAGCUAGGGGAGCAAACAGG